rnacentral:pre_miRNA from 1 species
AGUUUAGCUGGUUUGCAUCAGCUGGCUACUGUGCUGUGCAAAUCCAUGCAAAACUGA